rnacentral:lncRNA from 1 species
GAAAGCGAGACUCACAUCAAGAGAUGAUGGUGGUUGAGUGUUAAAAGCGGAAGGCCUUGGGGUCUUCUCGUUCACUUCCUGUAAUGUGUAGAGAAACGAAUAAACCAAGCAAGCAAAACACAAUUGUGGAUUCAAAAGACAGACAGGGAGACAUUGGGAUGCAACUUGAAUUCCAAAAGGAAAGGGCAUACCAUAGCUUGUGUAACC